UCUGUCUAUUUCCAUCUG
rnacentral:miRNA from 1 species